rnacentral:lncRNA from 1 species
UAACACUAUCUGCAGUGCCCGUGUUUCUAGCUAAAAGAAGCUGCUCUAGCUCACGGACACGUCUCUCUAAUAGAGACACCCUAUCAGUAACUGCAGAACAGUCAUCACAGGCCAUCGUAACACUUGUUUAUCGAGGCUGUGUUGACUGCGGUGAAAGGUAGAGAAGGAAUGAGCUAAGCUAGUUUGAGGAAGCUAACCGGGCAGCAACAAACUACCCAGUAAAAGAGGCUCAAUUCAACAAAAUACGUACAGGUCCACAAAGUCUAGCGUUAGCUACGGUACAACACUUGUAUGACUAUGAAGACUAAGAAAUCGAAGGAGAAUAAACAGCUAAGAUAGACGGAGAAGGAGAGAGACACAGUAAACACAGCUAUCGAUCUCACGGAAGUCUCGGUGUGCGUCACAGGCGGCGUCACAGGCGGCGUCACGUCAUCCCCUCACUCGUGAACAAAACCCUGGGGUACUUGAACUCCUUCACUUGGGGCAAGGACUCAUUCCCCACCCGGAGUAGGCAAUCCACUGGUUUCCUACUGAGAACCAUGGCCUCAGAUUUGGAGGUGCUGAUCCUCAUCCCUGCUGCUUCACACUCAGCAAUGAACUGAUCCAGAGAGCGUUGUAGAUCUACAGCCGAUGAUGCCAUCAAGACCACAUCAUCCGCAAAAAGCAGUGAUGCGAUCUUCAUGUCACCGACCUGUAACCCUUCCACACCACGACUGCUCCUUGAAAUCCUGUCCAUGUAUAUCACAAACAGGAUUGGGGGGGGAUACGUGAAGAGGAACACGCACAUGCUCUCUCUCGAGCGCGCACAGACACACACUCUUACAUAAUAAAACACCAAAGCUAAUCACUACUGCAUCCCGUCAUCCCUCCUGCACAGGCAGCCAACACAUACUAUCACUAAAAGGCUCCUUGUUCCAGUUCCUAAAUGAUGUGAAUGACCGUUCAGUGGAGCUCAAGGUACGACCAUCACAUUGUUUUCAUUUGAGGCUCUGGUUUUAAACCAUCUUCAUCAAGUAGUAACGUCCUCGUCCAGGGAACAGGCUUUCACCUGGUGGUCAUCUACAGACCUCUGACUCCCAGUUACUAGAAGAGUUCUCUGAAUCUCUUGCAGAUCUUGUGACUCGUUCAGAUCAGAUCCUAAUUAUUGGGGAUUUUAUCUCCAUUUAAAAAGCCUUCUGAAGCCUUCUGACCCUCUAAGUGAAGCUUUUCUGGGACUUCUUGAUAUUUCUGGCUUUAUUCAUCUUGUUCAUGAACAGACUCAGUCUAGUGGAAACUCUCUUAUUUAGUGACAAUUUUAUUCUAUUUUCUAAUUUCAGCAGCACUUUAAACUCCUUUUCUUACAUGUUGAGGUCAUUAUUGUAGUAAUUUGGAAGUAAUUUCAUGAUAAACUUGAUAAAUACAUACAAAACAUCAUAAUUACUCACCUACUUACCAUUAAAGUUCUAGACCUGUUGAUACACUACUUAUAAUUAAUGAGGGAUAUUUUAGUGUUUAUUUUCUUUAUUUUGUGACAUAUCUGAAUAUUUGAAUAUUUUUGCUCC